ACACGUGUUACAAGAAAACGUCAUUUCGAUUAGCAUUUUCCAAUGUCCACCCCACCUUUGGAAAUAGUUUAUACUUUAAAUCAUUUUUAUUUUUACAUUAUUCAGAUAAUAAACUCUCCGUCAAUUUGUUUACAGCUCUCUCUCCCUCUUUCUCAACGUGCCCAGUUAUCUUCACUGAAAUGCUUGGAGUAAUAUCAUAUGACUAGAAAAUAUGCAUAAAAACACAGGCAUAAGCAGCUGUUAAAUUUGCAGAUGGAUGCCUUCAGGGCUUGAGGGGGAGAUGCUGGUGUUGUCCAGUGUGCAUAUGUGGAAUGUUGUCAUUUUCUGUUUGCACAAAAUCUUUUAUUCAACAUUUAUUUUUUUUUUUACUGACAUGUGGUCUUUAUAGGUAACCGCACUUCCUUUCUUUGCAACCAUGGUACGGCUUUGCCGUGCUGGAGCCGAAGAAAUCUAUCCACUUUGCCCCCUCAACGAGUAUGAAAGUGUUUGAAACUUUGAAUUGUAAACCUGAAAGCAUUGGAAUGGUGUCCCUGAACGGGAAUCCGUUGGCUUCCCACCUUGGGAAGUGUUUUUAAUGGCAGUGGGCAAGCAGCAACUAUGCAAGAUAGGUGCCUGUAAAGACAAUCAUAGAAACAAGAGACAAAGGAAGGAACAAUUAUAGGAAUAAGAGAACUGCAUCUGUGUGUGAUAUAUAAAACAAUCUCAAAGGCUGUGCCAUGAGUUUAUUUGUUCUCUAUUCAUUUGACCUGAGCACAGUCUCUAUGCUUGCUUUUCAGCUUCAGUAGCUUUCUAAUUCAUUCUUUGCUAGUCCCCUGACCUGAACUUUGGAUUCAUUCCCCGAAAGAUUCUGAAAAUUAUUAGAUGCUGCUCUGCGUUUUCAGUGCACAUGCUACUCUCAGUUUAAAGAUGGCUUUGGCAGGGAACUCGCCUGGAACGGUGCAAAAGAAAGAGAACAUUUUUAACUACUCAAAAUUGAGCCAGCUUUAAGCUUUAGCAGGCAUGUGGAUGUGGCUCAGUUCAAGAUUUUUGGCCCAUUAUUUGUCAAAAAGACUCUCAAUCUGUAUAGCAGACCCAAUUCCUUCCAUGUGGGACUAUCAAUGGGUCUUCAAUUUAUGUGACCCAAUCUCUUUCUGUGAACAUUGCCACUAAUCUAAAAUGCCGAGGAACUAUUAAUAAUGGAAUCUCAGAUCAAAACUCAUUUUCAAUUUA